AUACGUAGGGUCCGAGCGUUGUCCGGAAUUAUUGGGCGUAAAGAGCUCGUAGGCGGUUUGUCGCGUCUGCUGUGAAAUCCCGAGGCUCAACCUCGGGUCUGCAGUGGGUACGGGCAGGCUGGAGUGCGGUAGGGGAGAAUGGAAUUCCUGGUGUAGCGGUGGAAUGCGCAGAUAUCAGGAGGAACACCGAUGGCGAAGGCAGUUCUCUGGGCCGUAACUGACGCUGAGGAGCGAAAGCGUGGGGAGCGAACAG
rnacentral:rRNA from 1 species